rnacentral:rRNA from 1 species
GCCUUAGAUGUCCUGGGCCGCACGCGCGCUACACUGACAUGUUCAACAAGCCUCCUAGUUCGACAGGAUUUGGGAAAUCUUUGAACGCAUGUCGUGAUAGGGAUAGAUCAUUGCAAUUAUUGAUCUUGAACGAGGAAUUCCUAGUAAACGCGAGUCAUCAGCUCGCAUUGAUUACGUCCCUGCCCUUUGUACACACCGCCCGUCGCACCUACCGAUUGAAUGUUUCGGUGAAGAUUCCGGAUAGGACUUUUUUGAUUUAUUUCAAUUUUGUCUUAAAAGCUAUCUAAACCUCAACAUUUAGAGGAAGGUGAAGUCGUAACA